rnacentral:rRNA from 1 species
GAUGAACGCUGGCGGCAUGCCUAAUACAUGCAAGUCGAGCGAAGCGGGGACGGGUGAGUAACAUGUGGAUAACCUCCUAUAAGGCUGGGAUAACUUCGGGAAACCGGAGCUUAUACGGACACUUAUAGAUGGAUCCGCUCUGCAUUAGCUAGUUGGUAAGUUAACGGCUUACCAAGGCAACGAUGCAUAGCCGACCUGAGAGGAUGAUCAGCCACACUGGAACUGAGACACGGUCCAGACUCCUACGGGAGGCAGCAGUAGGGAAUAUUCCGCAAUGGGCGAAAGCCUGAAGGAGCAACGCCGCGUGAGUGAUGAAGGUCUUCGGGUUGUAAAGCACUGUUAUUCGGGAGGCGUUACCUACGCAGGAAGCCACGGCUAACUACGUGCCAGCAGCCGCGGUAAUUC